UAUUGAAAAUAAUAAAAGAAACAAAAAAAAUGGGAACAAAGUUUUGCUUGGGGAGUUGGUAAACAAGUGAGUUGGCAUGUCCUUUUAAGAAAGUGGAAAACAAGGAUAAAGGACAGCCUAUCCCACAUGCCACAACCUUUGAUUAAACAGCUUUCAUCUCUAGAUUAUUUUCUAUUUACUCUCUUUUUAACAUGUUUUCUUCUUAAGUUUCUCCGUCACCAAACCCAAAUGCACAGCUAUCUGUCAAGUUGAGUACUCACAGCCAGCAAUUGAAUAAAGAGUGAAGAAAGGAAGGAAGCAUGGCAACUGAGGCACCGAGCUGGGCGGAUCAAUGGGGAGCAGGAGGCAUCGGUGCUAUGGAAGGAGAAGAUAACAAGAAGGCCAACGGAGACAAGGGCAGCGACAAAAAGACGGGCUCUUCUGCAGGACUCGGAAAAGCCAAAGCAGUGGCCAUGGCAGGGGCACAAAAGGUGAAGAGUGGGACAUGCAAUGGCAUCAAAUGGAUCAAGAACCAAUGCCAGAAGAAAAAAACACCCUCAAAUGAAUAAUGCUAGUUGUUGUUUUGUAUUUUAUGGACUAUUCUUUAUAUGUUUUUGUAUCUUUUGUAUGACAAAUUUGUAUUCCUUCAGCCUCAAA